rnacentral:rRNA from 1 species
GACGAACGCUGGCGGCGUGCUUAACACAUGCAAGUCGAACGGAAAGGCCCUGCUUUUGUGGGGUGCUCGAGUGGCGAACGGGUGAGUAACACGUGAGUAACCUGCCCUUGACUUUGGGAUAACUUCAGGAAACUGGGGCUAAUACCGGAUAGGAGCUCCUGCUGCAUGGUGGGGGUUGGAAAGUUUCGGCGGUUGGGGAUGGACUCGCGGCUUAUCGGCUUGUUGGGGGGGUAGUGGUUUACCAAGGCUUGGAAGGGUAGCCGGCCUGGGAGGGUGGACGGCCACAUGGGGACUGAGAUACGGACCAGAAGCCUACGGGAGGCAGCAGGGGGGAAUAUUGCACAAUGGGCGGAAGCCUGAUGCAGCAACGCCGCGUGCGGGAUGACGGCCUUCGGGUGGUAAACCGCUUUCGCCUGUGACGAAGCGUGAGUGACGGUAAUGGGUAAAGAAGCACCGGCUAACUACGUG